GUCCCCGUAGCUCAGCUGGAUAGAGCGACUGCCUCCUAAGCAGUAGGCCGCCCGUUCGAAUCGGGCCGGGGACGCCA
rnacentral:tRNA from 1 species